GAGUCGACCCCUAAGGCGAGGCCGAAAGGCGUAGUCGAUGGGAAACGGGUUAAUAUUCCCGUACUUGGUGUUACUGCGAAGGGGGGACGGAGAAGGCUAUGUUGGCCGGGCGACGGUUGUCCCGGUUUAAGCGUGUAGGUGUGUGUUCCAGGUAAAUCCGGUUCACUUUAACACUGAGGCGUGAUGACGAGGCACUACGGUGCUGAAGCAACAAAUGCCCUGCUUCCAGGAAAAGCCUCUAAGCAUCAGGUAACAUCAAAUCGUACCCCAAACCGACACAGGUGGUCAGGUAGAGAAUACCAAGGCGCUUGAGAGAACUCGGGUGAAGGAACUAGGCAAAAUGGUGCCGUAACU
rnacentral:rRNA from 2 species